rnacentral:ncRNA from 2 species
AACAGGGGAGCCGCCAGCGGCUGAGAGGAAGGCGCGUCCUUCGACCCUCUAACCUGAUCUGGAUCAUACCAGCGUAGGGAGUUAUAG